rnacentral:rRNA from 1 species
CCUACGGGGCGCAGCAGUGAGGAAUAUUGGUCAAUGGACGAGAGUCUGAACCAGCCAAGUAGCGUGAAGGAUGACUGCCCUAUGGGUUGUAAACUUCUUUUAUAUGGGAAUAAAAUGUUCCACGUGUGGGAUUUUGUAUGUACCAUAUGAAUAAGGAUCGGCUAACUCCGUGCCAGCAGCCGCGUUAAUACGGAGGAUCCGAGCGUUAUCCGGAUUGAUUGGGGUUAAAGGGAUCGUAGGGGGAUUGUUAAGUCAGUUGUGUAAGUUUGCGGCUCAACCGUAAAAUUGCAGUUGAAACUGGCAGUCUUGAGUACAGUAGAGGUGGGCAGAAUUCGUGGUGUAGCGGUGAAAUGCUUAGAUAUCACGAAGAACUCCGAUUGCGAAGGCAGCUCACUGGACUGCAACUGACACUGAGGCUCGAAAGUGUGGGUAUCAAACAGGAUUAGAUACCCUUGUAGUC